AACGAGCGAGACUCCGACUGCUAAAUACCAUCGGGAUUCUUUCGUCCCGUGUGGUUCUUAGCUGGAUUCGCGGUUUCAAACCGCAAGAAAUGGAGCAAUAACAGGUCUGUGAUGCCCUUAGAUGUUCGGGGCGGCACGCGUGCUACAAUGAUGCUAACAGCAUGCUUGUGCUCGACCGACAGGUCUUGCCAAACAUAUGAGAUAUUAUUAUGGCUGGAAUUGAGUGUUGAAACUUUCUCUCAUGAACGAGGAAUUCCAAGUAAAUGCAAGUCAUCAACUUGCAUUGAUUACGUCCCU
rnacentral:rRNA from 1 species